UGACUGACUGAGUGCCAGCAGCCGCGGUAAUACGUAGGUGGCAAGCGUUGUCCGGAAUUAUUGGGCGUAAAGCGCGCGCAGGCGGUUCCUUAAGUCUGAUGUGAAAGCCCCCGGCUCAACCGGGGAGGGUCAUUGGAAACUGGGGAACUUGAGUGCAGAAGAGGAGAGCGGAAUUCCACGUGUAGCGGUGAAAUGCGUAGAGAUGUGGAGGAACACCAGUGGCGAAGGCGGCUCUCUGGUCUGUAACUGACGCUGAGGCGCGAAAGCGUGGGGAGCGAACAGGAUUAGAUACCCUGGUAGUCCACGCCGUAAACGAUGAGUGCUAAGUGUUAGAGGGUUUCCGCCCUUUAGUGCUGCAGCAAACGCAUUAAGCACUCCGCCUGGGGAGUACGGCCGCAAGGCUGAAACUCAAAGGAAUUGACGGGGGCCCGCACAAGCGGUGGAGCAUGUGGUUUAAUUCGAAGCAACGCGAAGAACCUUACCAGGUCUUGACAUCCUCUGACAACCCUAGAGAUAGGGCGUUCCCCUUCGGGGGACAGAGUGACAGGUGGUGCAUGGUUGUCGUCAGCUCGUGUCGUGAGAUGUUGGGUUAAGUCCCGCAACGAGCGCAACCCUUGAUCUUAGUUGCCAGCAUUAAGUUGGGCACUCUAAGGUGACUGCCGGUGACAAACCGGAGGAAGGUGGGGAUGACGUCAAAUCAUCAUGCCCCUUAUGACCUGGGCUACACACGUGCUACAAUGGAUGGAACAAAGGGCAGCGAAGCCGCGAGGUGAAGCCAAUCCCAUAAAACCAUUCUCAGUUCGGAUUGCAGGCUGCAACUCGCCUGCAUGAAGCCGGAAUCGCUAGUAAUCGCGGAUCAGCAUGCCGCGGUGAAUACGUUCCCGGGCCUUGUACACACCGCCCGUCACACCACGAGAGUUUGUAACACCCGAAGUCGGUGGGGUAACCUUUUGGAGCCAGCAGCCGAAGGUGGGACAGAUGAUUGGGGUGAAGUCGUAACAAGGUAGCCUCAGUCAGUC
rnacentral:rRNA from 2 species